rnacentral:rRNA from 1 species
UACAGAGGGGGCAAGCGUUGUUCGGAAUUACUGGGCGUAAAGGGCGCGUAGGCGGCCUUCUAAGUCGAACGUGAAAUCCCUCGGCUUAACCGGGGAACUGCGUCUGAUACUGGAUGGCUUGAGUUCGGGAGAGGGAUGCGGAAUUCCAGGUGUAGCGGUGAAAUGCGUAGAUAUCAGGAGGAACACCUAUGGCGAAGGCAGCUCGCUGGGACGGUACUGACGCUGAGGCGCGAAAGCGUGGGGAGCGAACAGG